CUGCCAUAUCUGGAGAUUUAGGGGCGCCUUCUCUAAAAAAGUGUCCGGGGGGUUUCAGCCAACACCUAGCCCUCAUCAGUGAUGGGUGCCAAGUAUCUUACUGUGUCAAGUCUGGGCUUUUUACAGGAGGGUUUCUACCUCCUGCCAGGCUUCCACCUUACACCCGACCACCCCUCAUGAGUCAGGCUGCCACCAACACUGUCAUGCUGUCAUCGCCCUGGCCAUCUAUGGCACCCGGAAGUACAAGAACAGGGGCUACCAGGCGGUCCAGGAUGAGAGGCAGAGUUUGGUUCCAGGUGCUGCAGUGACUGGAGACGCCCUUGACCAAGGGCAGGAGCAGAGUCCAGCCUAGGUCCUCCCUGGAAACAGAUGCUCUCAUCUCCAGCCAGCCCAUCACGUGUGUCUUUCAUUUUCCUUUCUUCACGUCUGCCUUCCUAAGUGCAACCAAUAGCAGGUACAACUUUGUGACUUUCUUAGGUCUCUGGGCUAAGAAAUGAACAGAGCUACGUGGACCAGGUUGGAGGAAGGGUUGGAUAGUGGUGGUGAUUUUUUUUUUUCUUAAGCAAACAUCAUCCUAGGGCCUAAAGCAUGAGGGUGGUGUCUUUUCUCUAUGUGCCUCAUCAAGUAUCUUCACCUGAAUGCUUAUGUGUAUAAAGAAGCAAGGGAGGAUGUUAACAUUUGAAUUCGGAGAUGAUGCAUUUAAUCGGAGGUCAGCCAUGGACUCCAAUUCAUGAGCUGUAAGACUUCCUUCCAUUAAGGGUUACCCUCCCACUAUUUUGUGUUUAUUUAAAGCUGUCUGGAUUUCAUGCUCCUAGAGGCGGACAAAGCCCCCAGAUGUCCUGGUUGGCUACUGCUUUUCAGCUCUGCAGGCUCCUGUUGAUGGCAUGUUUCAUUUCCUCUGGGUCAUCCCCACCACGGCAUCUGAACAGAGAGAGGUGCCUGUACCAAGCACACGUUUUCCAACUUCCCCACAAUCCAGACUUACGUAGACCAGGCCACCCUUGGACUUCAGGCCAGUGUCACAAAGUCCUCAGGAAAUAUUUUAAGAUAUAAACUUCAAUUAAAAUGUCAAGGGAGAAGAGAUAAUUGGGAGACGAGGAGUGAAUGAAGGAAAGAUGAAAGCUGGAAAAGAUUCUAGGGCUCAUGGGGAAUUGGAAUUCUUACCCACAGCCAACUCCCUGGUUUCAUCCUCUUAACUCGUCAGAAAUGGGGCCAAGAAAGGAGCUGCAGGUUUGGAUCGAUCAAGCAUUAUCACUGCAUGUUCUGUUACCAAGGCGCAAUCCCUUACUCUUCCAGGGAUGGCCAUCCCUCUUCCCAUCCCCCAUCAUAGGCACCCCACGCCCCAACACACACGCACACACACAUACACACCCCACAUUCCAACAAGAAGACUUUUUCUGGGGUAGGAGACAAGGAAAAAUACAAGAAGUCAAAGGAAACCCAUACCUGAGUAUCAGCUCCUCCCUAAGACAUAAAAAGAGCAGAAAACACCAAUUAUUACCUUGUCUUUAUUUUUUUUUUCCCAGCAGAAAGGAGGCUGACAUGAUCAAAGCAAUGUUUUAAAAUGAAACAAAAAAGGCAUCCAACGUCAUUUGUGGUCCAUUUAUUACAGUGCCAGGCUGACUUUCCUGGGCCAUCUAGAAGGAUGCAUGAUUGUUCCUUGACAUAUGAGGCUUUGACCAAUUUAAGUAACAGUCUCACUUAAUUGUAAUUAUUAGGGUGAGCCUAUUAGUGUUCUUCCUCAAUUUUUUUUUAAGUUACAUAUUUCUUGGUGUUCCCUUGUGAGAUCUGGCAUUGUGACUGCACAGCUUGGGUUACUGCUGUGGCAGGGGUUUGAUCCCUGGCCCAGGAACUUCCAUAUGUCAUAGGCACGGCCAAAGAAGUUAUACAUUUAUUCACCAAGUCAAAUGUCAUCAGUGAGUCAUCUUUAAUGAAGGAGAAUUUGUCCUUUCCUCAUUAAAUAUUUGAGAUCAAAAAUGUUAUACCAGGUCCUCCUUCAGAGGAGCUUGAAGGGUGCCAGCCUGUGAGAAUUUGGGAGAGGAUUAUCUGCCACUCUGAUACAGAGAAGUGAGUCACAGAACUGGAGCCCUGCCUUCAGCUAGGGACUCUGGUCUUUACCUCCUCUACCCCUGCUUCUGAAGCAUUAAAAAGCUCUCCUAAACUUCUGGGCGUUCUGUGGGUAUGUUUCAGCCAGGCUAACCCCUUUCCUGCCAAUACAGACUUCUCCAUGAAUUCUCUGAAGGUUACUGAGUCAGAGAGACAAAGUACAGCCAGAGGCUCCCAGCCUUUUAAUGCACUAACUGCCAACCAAAGGUUCUUCACAAACUUACAUUUCUAAACAAUGCUGCACAUGAAUAUGCAUUAAAACCUGUCCUCA
rnacentral:lncRNA from 1 species